rnacentral:misc_RNA from 1 species
GAAAUUUUUUGGUAGUCUUCGGACUACCUUCAAACCUCCUAUUCCUUUACCACACACCUGCGCUAGUGUAGCAAUACAUCAGCGCAAGCUCUUUUAACUUAUUAUAACACACCAGUUCAUUGUAUGUUCAAAAAACUAUAAACAAAAUAAAACUUUCAACAACGGAUCUCUUGGUUCU